GCUGGCCAUCAGUGGAACUGGAGGGCUCGCUAAGCACACCACCCAAAUACCCCUCAGAGCUGAGUUCAGUGCCUAGCUGGGUUCAGUGUUUUUAGUAUGAACUUGAGUAGCAAGGGAGGCAGACUUGAGGCGAGGAGCAGAUGACAGAGAGCAGUAACAGCUCUGAAGAAAAGCUAGAGGCUGAUGAGAUGACCAUGACUUGGGGUGAGGGGAGAGAGCAAGACAAGGGCUGCUCUGUCGGGAAGGCCUUUGACUGGGGGCCUGAAUGAUGGAGAGCCAACCACAUGAAAAACUUAAAAACAGCACUGCAAAAAAAGUACUGCCGGCAAGGAAUUGGUAAAUGCAAAGGCCCUGGGGCAUGUUGAAGGGUGGAAGGAAGGCCAGUGGAGCUGGAGUCAAGAGAUGGAGGGGCAGCUUGGUGGGUGAAGAGCCCCAGGGACCUGCAGUGUCAUCACCUAGGAGCUUCCUAGAAAUGCAGACUGA
rnacentral:sRNA from 1 species